AGCGAACGCUGGCGGCAGGCCUAACACAUGCAAGUCGAGCGCCGUAGCAAUACGGAGCGGCAGACGGGAGAGUAACACGUGGGAACGUGCCCUUUGGUUCGGAACAACCCAGGGAAACUUGGGCUAAUACCGGAUAAGCCCUUACGGGGAAAGAUUUAUCGCCGAAGGAUCGGCCCGCGUCUGAUUAGCUAGUUGGUGGGGUAACGGCCCACCAAGGCGACGAUCAGUAGCUGGUCUGAGAGGAUGAUCAGCCUCACUGGGACUGAGACACGGCCCAGACUCCUACGGGAGGCAGCAGUGGGGAAUAUUGGACAAUGGGCGCAAGCCUGAUCCAGCCAUGCCGCGUGGGUGAUGAAGGCCCUAGGGUUGUAGAGCCCUUUCGGCGGGGAAGAUAAUGACGGUACCCGCAGAAGAAGCCCCGGCUAACUUCGUGCCAGCCGCCGCCGUAACAC
rnacentral:rRNA from 1 species